GACGGAGGAUGCAAGUGUUAUCCGGAAUCACUGGGCGUAAAGCGUCUGUAGGUGGUUCGAAAAGUCCACUGUUAAAAAUUGAAGCUUAACUUCAAAGAUGCCGUGGAAACUUUCAAACUAGAGUGUGGUAGGGGUAGAGGGAAUUUCCAGUGGAGCGGUGAAAUGCGUAGAUAUUGGAAAGACCACCGAUGGCGAAGGUACUCUACUGGGCCAUUACUGACACUGAGAGACGAAAGCUAGGGGAGCAAAUGGG
rnacentral:rRNA from 1 species